GAUGAACGCUGGCGGCGUGCCUAAUACAUGCAAGUCGAGCGAACAGACGAGGAUCUUGCUCCUCUUACGUUAGCGGCGGACGGGUGAGUAACACGUGGAUAACCUACCUAUAAGACUUGGAUAACUUCGGGAAACCGUAGCUAAUACCGGAUAAUUUAUUGAACCGCAUGGUUCAAUAGUUAAAGACGGUUUUGCUGUCUCUUAUAGAUGUAUCCGCGACGCAUUAGCUAGUUGGUAAGGUAACGGCUUACCAAGGCAACGAUGCGUAGCAGACCUGAUAGGGUGAUCGGACACACUGGAACUGAGACACGGACCAGAAGACUACGGGAGGCAGCAGUAGGGAAUGGUGCGAAAUGGGAGAAAGCCUGACGGAGCAACGCCGAGUGAGAGAUGAAGGUAUUCGGAUCGUAAAACUCUGUUAUUAGGGAAGAAAAAAUGUGUAAGUAACUAUGCACGUCUUGACGGUACCUAAUCAGAAAGCCACGGCUAACUACGUG
rnacentral:rRNA from 1 species